rnacentral:rRNA from 1 species
GAUGAACGCUGGCGGCGUGCCUAAUACAUGCAAGUCGAGCGAACAGAUGAGAAGCUUGCUCCUCUGACGUUAGCGGCGGACGGGUGAGUAACACGUGGAUAACCUACCUAUAAGACUGGGAUAACUUCGGGAAACCGGAGCUAAUACCGGAUAAUAUAUUGAACCGCAUGGUUCAAUAGUGAAAGACGGUUUUGCUGUCACUUAUAGAUGGAUCCGCGCCGCAUUAGCUAGUUGGUAAGGUAACGGCUUACCAAGGCAACGAUGCGUAGCCGACCUGAGAGGGUGAUCGGCCACACUGGAACUGAGACACGGUCCAGACUCCUACGGGAGGCAGCAGUAGGGAAUCUUCCGCAAUGGGCGAAAGCCUGACGGAGCAACGCCGCGUGAGUGAUGAAGGUCUUCGGAUCGUAAAACUCUGUUAUUAGGGAAGAACAAAUGUGUAAGUAACUAUGCACGUUUUGACGGUACCUAAUCAGAAAGCCACGGCUAACUACGUG